GACUUUCAACAAAUUCAAGGUUAUUUUCAACAAUUGGAAUUUAAGGUUUGGGAACAUCUAAACCUAAAGGUUAGUAAUUUAACCCUAAAAGAUCAAUUUAAAAAAAAAAAGAAAUUGGUAUUGCUUUCGAUGCAUAGAUCUAAAAUACUAACAAAAAUAUCAACAAAAAAUCAAUUAAAUGCUAAAAAAUUGGUAAAAAUUCUAAUAAAUUAUCAAUAUAUCGAUAUUUUGGCCUUCUAUAUCAUUUUGAGGUCCAUUAUGUUGGGAUUUAGCCCCUAAAAAAACAAGAUAUGAUGUAACAAAGUUAGACUUAAUCAUCCUCUUGUUAUCCUUUUGGUAUAUUGACAUUGAUUUGAGUAUUUAGUCCAUGUCUCUUACAUUGUACAUAACUUGGGUGCUUUAUGAGUUGCAUAGAAGAUACAACUCAUGGGUUCCUUGUAAGUAGAUAAGUUGUUGGUUCAUGGAUUUGGGCAGUCUAGUAGAGACUAUAGUGCACCAACUCUUAAUUAGAGGAAUGACUUGUCUUGGCCAUCGGGAUGAGCUUCCCAUGCUGAGUGCACUAGUGUGCGUGAUGCACAAUGGAAAGGACCUAUGGUAAAUCAUGAUUCAAGGUUAUCAAUUAUCACGAUUCACCAAGCUACUAUACUGCAUGGACUCUCAACCUGAAAAGGAUACUGGGCUUAUGCCAAAAUUAAUAGGAGGCUUUGAUGUUUAGAUGAGACCCUAAAGUGCUCAUAUAUUCUUAUGGACUAGGUCACUAUUGAUGGAGACUAGUGACAACAGGUAUUCCCAACAUAGGCACCAUAAUAUCUCAUGUGAAGAGAAAAACCAAAAUCUCUCCAUUUCCCAAGCCCGAAUCAGGUUAGGAAUAGGCAUAACUAUCCUAGGCUUUUUUUAAAUCCUAUGCACAACGGAAAAAUAACAUUUUUAAAACUUUGAAGGGAUUUAGAAAGUGCUAACAAAAACCAUACCUUAGAUUCAGAUGUUCUUGAUUCAAAUCCACAUGGUGAAAAUGAAGAACGAAAUUAAAGAAGUCUCAUAAAUCAAAAGUCUUCUACCUGAUGACUCGAACCUUGAUUUUGACACACUUCCGAUGAGGAUGGAAGGAAGAGUGGAGGCUAUGACUCUCUCUCUUUGUGGGGAUGGAAGACAACUCUUUAGAAAAAUUUAUGAGAACCCUAACCCCUAAGGGGGGUAUUUAUAGGGUUUCCUACUAGGCAUAAGUGACUUGAGGUUUCUCCAAAUUGACUCCGUAUAGUCUGUACCAGAGUGGUUCAUCCUCAAAAGAACAACAAUGGGUUGUAGCAUUUCCUAUUUCUUUGUCUAGGGGAUAUAAAAAAGGCCUUUAUCGUCAAAAGGCAGGGGUGAGCUUUCUCACUAUACAAUGACCACUACGAACGAAGGACCAACGACGAUGAAGGAGGAGAAGGAGGAGGAGUCAUUAAGGGCUUGGGUCACUUAAUCUAGGCUAAAACGGGUCCUAAAUAAUUAAUUAACCUAAUAGGGCUACUAAUUAAUCAAUUAGCCCAAUCUAGAGACCUUGUUCACUUGCCCCUAUGCAACCUUGUGCAAUUACCAAAACACCCUUAUGCAUAAAAGUGAACCUAGAGUCGAUCCAACACUCAUAACCCAUGCUAAUAAGGUAUAUGAGCUCAAAGCAAAGACCACUAGAACCCAUAGGAAUAUUGGCUUCCUCAUAAUCCAAUUCUAAAGUUGGUUCAACAUCACACUAUAGAGAAUCAACUAAACUCUAGUAUCCUAUGUAAAUAACAACGAGACACCAAGUGUUUGGGUUUAUGACCUACUAUCCAUUGUGUUCAGUCUCCCUAUGAACUGGUGUUUGUAGUUUAAUAAGAUGAAAGCUAUCAACCUUUCAAGACUACCUCUACCAUCCUUGAGUUAUAGAUCCUCCUAUUGUGUAUUCAACUAAUAUGUCUUAACUCUCAAAGAGCCUAUGCCAAGUUCCAUUUAAGGAACUACUAUGACCAUAUUUUCAUGAACACACCUCUUUAGGACCACCCAAUGGCACUCAUUAUCUCAAUCCUAUGAGAUAUCAUGGUGCCUCUAUUAAGAAUACCUAUUACUAUUAACUUCCAUCAAUAAUAACCUGAUCCAUAGGGAAUAAAUGAUUAGCUUAAUACUUCACCCGUAGGUCAAAGCUAUUGCUAGCUUUAGCAUAAGCUCAAUAUUCUCUCAAGGUUGAGAGACAACACAAUGAAACGACUUAGGGAGUUCAUAACUACUUGAUAGCCUUAAGUCAUGAAUCACCAUAGGUCCUAUUUAAUGUGUAAUCAUACACAUUAGUGCACUCACCGUGGGAAACCUGUCUCAAUAACUAAGACUAACCAUCCCUCCGAUUAGGAAGUAGUGCACUACAAACUCUAAUAGGUUGCCUAGACCCAUGAACUAGUUGUGAACAAGUCAUCUAUUUGCAAGGAACCCAUAACUUAGAUAUUUUGUGCAACUCCUAAUGCAUCCAAGUCACGUACAAUGUAAAAGAUGCAGACAAAAAUGCUCAUAAAGUAUAAUUCAUGGAAUAAGGGUAGACAAAAAUGAAACUAAAACAUCAUUAAAUGAAUAAUGAAUUCCAAAUUUAUUACAUCAUGUCAUGCUUUUAAGAGCUCUAUCCUAUCAUCAUGGGAUUGAGAGACAGUGUGUCCCCUUGGGUGAUCUAAACGACAUGUGAUCAUGAAAUCUAUGGCCAUAGUAAUUCCUUUAGUGGAAUUUGACAUAUGUUCAUUGGAGAUAGAGUAUGUUAGUGGAUCACAUAAUAAGUGGAAUCUGUAACUCAAGGAUUUAAGAGAUAAUCUUGAUAGGUGAUAAUACUACCUUGUUAUAUUAUGGACACUAGUUCAUAGGGAGUCUACAUGUGGUGGAUAAUAGGUCACUGAUCCAAGCACUUAGUGUCCCGUUGUUAUUUAUAUAGGGUAUUAGAGUUUAGUUGAUUCUCUAUAAUUGGAUGUUUAAUCAACUUCAAAAUUGGAUUUUGGAGCUAGUAUUCCUAUGGAUCCUAAUGGUUUUGUGCAUAAGGUCAUUUUAGUAAUUAUGUAAGAUUGCCCAGGGAUAAGUGAACAAGGUCUCUUGAUUGGUCUAAUUGAUUAAUUAGACGACCCUAUUGGGUUAAUUAAUCAAUAUGACCCAUUUUGGGCUACAUUAAGUGGCCCAAGCCAAUAACAAGUCACUUAAACCUAGUUAAGAUCCCUAUAAAUACCCCUUAGGGGUUAGGAUUUCUAUAACUUUUGUCUUCCACCAUCUAGAGAAAAAGAGAUUCAUAGCCUUCACCCUCAUUUCCUCUCCACCGAAAGNNNNNNNNNNNNNNNNNNNNNNNNNNNNNNNNNNNNNNNNNNNNNNNNNNNNNNNNNNNNNNNNNNNNNNNNNNNNNNNNNNNNNNNNNNNNNNNNNNNNCAAGAUCAUCUUCAACACUUGGAAUUUAAGGUUUGAAAACAUCCAAACCUAAAGGUUAGUACUUUAACUCUAAAAGAUCAAUUUUUUUAAAAUUAGUAUUACUUUUGUUGCUUAGAUCUAAGAUGCCAACACACCAAAACUCGAUAUAUCAUCGAAAUAUCACAACAUUUUAAUCCUUAUUUGUAGCUCUUGCUUUCUUGAAACUCUCUUGAAAGACCAAAAGUAACUCUAUCCUUAACUUAGUCUCUCAACAUCAAAACUUUCUUUGUUUUUUUUUUUUUUUUAAUGAUUCUUUCUCUCACAAAUCAUGGUAUAACUAUUAAAUAAAUAAAUAAUUAAAAAUUUUGAAAGAGUACUCAUUUUUUUUUUCUCAUUCAAGAUAUUAUCAGUUUAUAAAUUUAAUAUAAAUUAAGAAUUUUUUUUUCUCACAAUAUACAAUGGCUAAGUUCAUUUGUUUAUUUUUUAUUAGGGUUAAAUUUUGUUUCAAUUACAAAAAAAAAUUGAUUAAAGUUAUGUUUUUAGUUAGAAUGUUUGUAUGAAUGUAACUAUUGUUAAGUUUCAUUUAUGAAAUCGUGAGAUAUUAAGGUUAAAGCCUCGAUUCUUCAACUAAUUGAGUGCGAUUCAAGGUUUUCAUUAAGGAACCUAUUAAAAAUCAACAUGUUUAAAAUAAAUAAAUAAAAUCCAACAACAUUAACUAAAAUCUUACUCAUGACAACUUUUUAUUCAACUUCAUCUUCAAUAUUAUUGAACUUCAUAUGAAAUCCCUAAUGAAGAACAAAGAGAAAAAUGAAAUAUGAGAAGAAUAUUAGAGAAGAAAGAUAUAUACAAGAACUUCACUCUAUAGUUUUUUUUACAUGGGUAAGACUUUCAUAUUCAGGAGGUAGUAGAAACAAACGGAAAAUGGACAGGAAGUGAGAGAGAAUUGGUGUUUUAAAGGGUUUAAAGAAGGGAAAAUGUCUCAAAUGAGUCAUUUCCAUAAAGAAUAAAGAUGAGGGGGUGGGGGGAGGUCAUUUUUCUGAUUUCAAACUUAUUUUAAUCCUUUUAACCAAAUAUCCCUCUCUCUUUCUUUGCCUGGGAAGUCUUACAUGGGUUGGGUUUCAAUUUUUUGGAAGACGUGUAUUUAUACACAUAUAAGUAGUUAUCAAUUUGUUUUGGAAAAUACAAAUGAGGAUCAAAAUCGUAGCAUAUCUAUUAAUUAAUAAUAAAUCAUAUUUAGGUUAAACUCAUUUUAUACCCAAUGUUUUUGUGGACCUACAUUUUUCACGUGCACUCCUACUUGUCAACGAGACUCGCUUUUUAAUGGUGAAAAAUUAGUUUUAGUAAAAUCAGAGUCACCAUUUAUUUUAUUUUAUUUUAAAAGGGAAAAUAAAACAAGAAAGAAAAAUCCUAAUAAAAUGUGACUCCAUAGUUUUGGAAAAACAUGUCUUCAAAAAGCCCAAGUCUAAGUCUAGGGAUUAGGUUACCUAUCAAGAAGGUACCUCAAAGAGGUAGAACUCCUCUAAGCCCUAAAAAGGUCUCUAUUAGCUAAGUUAAGGGAAAUAUGGUAAUUAAUCAAUUAAUUAUGGAUACUUAGAUAAGCUAAGGUGAUUUCAAAAUUAACGUGCCAAACAAGAAAGGCAAUCACAAUCAUAAAGAAGAGUUAGGGUGUGUACCUGGAUUGCUUCUUAGGCAUUAUCACAAGACACCAAAGUUAGUUUAACAAUAUAAUACUACAUACCUCAUGCAUUCAAUCCCUUCAAAUAAUCAAGCAAUAAAUCAAAGCAAUCAAGACAAUAUCAAACACGAGAGUAUUCACAAACAAAGUUUGCAUAUUUACAGAAUUAAAAAGAGAAAGGGUGUAUUGGAUGUACCUGGAUAACAUGCAUAACUUACAAUGUGCUUGCAUGUGGCUAGAGAAGGUUAGCUCACAAGUGAUAACAAAUAACUAUGACAAUAAACAACAACUAUCACAUAGGACAUGCAUAUGGACUCAUUGUUAAAUUUAAACUAAUGCUCUAGAUAGUUAUAGUAUCAAAGUUAGUAACUAAGACAAAAACAUGCAGUAAAGAGGGAAAACAGUUGCAUUCAAUUUAAAAAUCCUAAACAAAUAUCUAAAAACAUUAUUUUGUCAUAAAAAAUCAAACAACAUCCUCAUUAUGUAUAUAUUAGAGAAUAAAAGCCAAAACCAAGUUAGGAUAUGUCAAACAAUACUAGGUUAAAAUAUAAGUUAAGCACUGUACAAAAGUUCCAGCAUGUUGUCAGAAUAGAAGUUUUCACAAAAAAAAAUGAUAAAAAUAUCUAGAAUGCAAAUUAAACUAAAAAAAAUUCUAGACAACAUCUGCUACAUGUCUAGUCUAUCAUCCACAUGGCCAAGUAAUCAUUCAAAUAACAAAUUUAAACAAAAAUUCCCAAAAAUUCCAGAAGGUCCAAAACUAGGCAGAAAAAUAAUGACAUGCAUAUACCAAAUUAAAAAAAAAAAAAAAAACAUGCAGAUGUCUCCUAAAAUCACACAAAAAAUCAUACACGUCAUUUAAAUUGUCUGAAUUACACAAAAAAUAAAGCCAGGGUCAAAGAGCACUCAAAACUAUUUUUAAAACACUCAAACUCUUUAGUUGUCCAAAAUCAAUCAUGUACAGUAGAUACAACUUUAAAAUGAAAGAAGCUAAUUUAAAAAAAAAAAAAUAUAUAUAUAUAUAUAAGAAACAAAAUACUAAGCAAAAAAAAAAAACAAAAUCACAAAGUAAAAUUUUUGACAUCCAAGAAAACUCAUAUGGUGAGAGUAGAGACCAAUCUUCAUUUUUUUAUGACCUCUGAAAAUUAAACUUAACAAAGACUACCCAAACAACAAAUUAAUGAUUUUAAGAUCAAACAAACUAACAUGGUAUCAAUCAAUGACUCAUAAUUAGAAUUUUAAAGAACACAUGAACUAAGAAAAAAAUCAAUCAAGAUUAAAGUUAUUAUCUAAGGUUUUUUUAAGCAUAUUAGCUUGGAAUCAAUAACAUUAAGAACUAAAGAAUCAAAGAAAUAAAUAUCAACUAUUAAGAUCAAUUAGAAUUAUCAUCUAAGAUUUU
rnacentral:lncRNA from 1 species